GCGGCGUUUCACACGGCAGGCGUCGCCCACGGGAUUCGGACAUGGCCCGCUCUCACGUGAUGCUGUGGACGGGCGCGCUGGUGGCUGCCUGGCUGGCGGUCGGCGCGGCGGCCAACUGCGCCACCGGCUGCACCCAGACGACGUUCCGCGCCUACACCGGCUGCCUGCAGAACUGCGGCGCCGACGUCGCCGUCACCAAUUGCGACUGCUCCUCCACGGCCUGUACCCGUUGCCCCGGCGACAACACCUGCUGCCAGACCUGCUGCAACACACAACAGUGUGUCUGCUCUAAUGUGAACUGCCAACAGCCCUGCAACAACGCAUGCUGUUCGAUGUGCUGUCGGCCGCCGGUGGAACAACCUCAGUGUGGAAACUGUGCGCCUGGUUGCCUACAACGGGGGUCGGGCUGCGCGCCUUGCUGCCAGCCGCCGCAGCCGCCGCAGCCGCCGCAGCCGCCGCAGCAGACGUCGUCGACAACGACGACGACGACGUCGCGGCCGCCGCAAUCUACAAAUUCGCCGAACCCAGAUCCGAACCCUCCUCCGCAACCACCAGGGCAACCGUGCGUGAACGUGUCGGUACUACCGGCGGCACCGGCCGUCGUGAACGUCUCGCUGGGGAACAUCACCGUGAACCCAGCAAACAUCACUGUGCUGCCCGCCAACAUCAGCUUCACGCCGCACAUCACCGUCGUCGUGAACACGUCACCCGUCUCACAGGUGUAUCCGUACCAGUACGCGGGCAACGUGACGCUGAACCUGGAGCAGCAGCAGGUGCUCAACUGCACGGGCGGCCGGCGCCGCUGCUGCCGCGUCGUCAUGCAACCGCCCUACCCCUGCCCGCCAGGCCCGGCCUGCCCGCCGAUCGUGAGGUUUGGAUGCGGCCAACAGUGCUUGUCCAUCGUCCAACAGAACAUGUACUACCUCCAGGCGCCACGGCAGCCCUACUUCUACACGGACUACUACUACCGACCAUGGUACAUGUAUGUACCACAGACGCCACAGUACUUCUGCAGUUCCGGCUGUAUACCCCUACCUACCUGGCCGUUCGCGCGCUGCUUCGACACUAUGCCUUAUAGUGCAGGCGGAAUGCCCUCUCUUCCACAGUACGCUUCUUUUCAACCGGGACCUGACGCAGCAGCUGCCACGGCUCCUGCAGCAGUCACCAACACGCAAGGCUAGCACCUGAAAAGUACGCCGCAGUUCGGAGCUUGCUGGACGUGAUCUUAGCAGACACUCACUUCAGAAACCAGCAACAGCAUGCACUUUGAAAAGGACGCAAAUUUUGAGGCAGUAGCUCUGAAGUAAUGCAACAGUGACUUGUGGUCGACACACUAUCAUUUUCACAAUGUGUUUUUAAAACCUACUGACUUGUUACUUUUAUGAAGACGCGGAGAAAAAUAUUGUCAUGAAAAAAAAGACAUUCUAUCUCGAGGCUAUCUAUCACAUUUUCGUUUUAGGAAGGUUAUUGAUUUUACGCUUCCGACUAAACAUUAAUAAAAACAAUCAUGGGAAGAAAAAAGAAGUUUGAAAGCCCACAUCUAAUGAAAGCAAAUAUAACACCUCCUUUCUUUAUAAAAAUGAUGAAAAAUUAUGCAAUUAUUUUAAACAGUACUCGAAACAGAGGUGAACUUAAUAUCCAUCUACGACGAACAUGAACUUUAUUCGUCCCGCAGGCGAAAUACUACCACGACACAAAAGGAACGAGUCUGAAAUUAUUACUAUUGAUGUAUCUGGCGUGGCCUAAAAAUUAUGCUCGAGUGGUAUUAAUUUGCGAUCCUGUAUUUGGUCUCUACGCUGGGACAAUUUGUCUCAAAAUCUAUAAACUGCAUCACGGAAAUGACACAUAGGAAUUUUUUAAGGAGAAUAGAAUGAACCGUGUGAAUGCAAAUAAAUCUAACUCUGAAGUCGACUGCAAGUGAAGUGAUGCAUUUGGAAGGUUAACAAAUUCGUAAUACCAGACUCGGUCGUCAUAAUAUUCACAUUUCUUCCACAGGAGCGGAAAAGUGUAGUACACUGCUCGUUUACUGCCACUAAGCUGACAGUUUCUGAUAAGACUCGUCAUAGUAUAAGACAUAGUCAAGUGGAGAAACAGAAAACCACUAAUAUUCUGCAACGAACACAUUUUACGAUUUUUGAAGAAAUUCGUCUUUUCCUGUAAAUGUAAUUUAGUCUUCAGUGUUGCUAAACAGUUGUUAUUGUUAGACGUGUGCAUAGUCUUUUUCUGUAAGUUAACGAAACUUUCUUUUUGUAAUAUAUUAAGGAUUUAGGUAUGCAAAAGUGUUAAAAUAUAUCUUUUCUUCAUAUAUGAAAGCAACACAAAGUUAAGCGGCAUAAAUGAUGAAGAUUAGACUGCAUCUUAUGUACAGUACCACGUUUCUCUCUGGACAUGUUUAAUCCACUACAUGAUAUGAGUAACGUGCUUGUCUUUGGAUGGAUACUGAUACCAAACACCUGCAGGUGUAGAAAUUAAUGAAAAUUCCUUGAAAAAAUUGGUAUUUCAACAGACGAAGAGUAGUUACAAAGAGUAACUGUCUAAAAAAUUAAUCAUAUGUUUCAACUAUGAAAAUAUUUUUAAUAAAUACACACAAAUAAAGUUUGGGAGUAAAACGGUUAAAAAAAAA